AGUUUCACUGCUGGACAGAGGAUCUAUUCUACUUUACUGUGAAAUCUAUUCUCAGUGUGUGCAGACUGGAGGUUUCAAAUUUCCACAUCACAGUUGUGAAAGUUUCAUACUGAACCAUGGCUGGAUCCAAAAUGCUGUUUUAGAGUCAUAAACCCUGCAGGUACCUUCAGGUGGCCUCAGUCUCAUGUCACUUGCUAUCCAACAAUUCUUUGUGAGGCGGUUUAUUUUCAUCCCACAGAAAAUGAAGAGAAUCUCACUCGGCUCAUGUGGCCUCCUGGUCCCAGUGCAGAGAGGAGCAGGUGUGAUGGAAAAUCUCAUUCUAAAGGUGCUGAGCAGCUGAUAGUUUGUCAUCAGAGGAGACUUUGAGGCUGAUGUGUCAUUGGCGUUUGGUCUGUGUGCAGAACUCACAGGAGUCUGGAAACAUGGCUUGUACAUCACAGUCUGCCUUAAAUUAUGUCAGUAGAGCCAGAGGGCGCCUUGUGGGAGAAUUACAGAAUCUCUCUGUGAUUCUGGAGAACUUGUAUCAGAAAGGAGUUCUCAGUGAUGAGGAGGUCAGCAAAAUACAGACAGAGCGUGAUGACUUCGAUAGAACCAGAAAAAUCCUGGACAAGGUCAUAAAAAAGGGGGAAGCAGCCUGCUACGAGUUACUCAGAAUUAUUGACGUGACGAGGAAGAGGACUUUAGAGAGGCCGCCUCCUCUCCUGAGAAAAACACUGGAACUUCCACUGGAACCCAGAAGUUUGACCUGCACCACUGGAUCAGCUGCUUUUCUUUCAAGGAAGAAACGCAAAUGGAUGUGGACUACCUGCAAGGACCAAGACCGUGCCACAGAUAUCAGAAAAAGUUGAAGUUGAAAGCACAGAAAUUAUCUAAAGAGUUUUGGAAUCCAAGUAAAAAACUGUUUGAAGACAAAAGGAGGCCUGAUCUGUCAUACACCUCACUUGUAUUGGAUACACAGAAAAGCCCAUCUCCAUCUAAAAUCAAGAAAUGGAAGAGAAAGAAAAGUAAGAUGAGUCGACCUAAGAAACUGAGGACAUACAUCCCUGAGGACAAACCAGAAAUUUCCCCCACUGACCUUCUGAAAACACAGGAAGACAUCCUCUUGGUCGGGAAGCCUGGAAUUGGAAAGACGGCAGUCGUUCGUGAAAUGUUGAGACUGUGGGCAGAAAAGGACAAGAAGGAGUUAGAUUACAUGUUCUACUUUGACAUGAGGAAAAUGUCCCA